AUGGCCAGGCUGCUUGCAAGAAGCAGGGAUAGGCGGCGGUGCAGAGUGGCAAGAACACUGUGUCCUGCAUUAAGCCCUGCUCCCUCAGAGGCUGUGUGUCAGACGACUGGUACCCCGGUUCUUCGGGCGGGUGAGCCAAUUAGCACAUUCCCUAGUCUGGAACUGUAGUUGCUGUGUAUGUGAUCUGCAUACUGAUUCAGCUGAGAUUUGACCUUCUGGGCGGAGAAAAACAAGAAUCCCAGCCACAUUUGCCUUGCCAGCAGUAAAUCCUGAGCAUUUCAGAAUGGACCCAACCAGAAAGACAACAUUUCAAAAAGUUUUAGGUCACCCCUGGGCCACAUGGAGGACCCUUAAGAUGAGCUGACAAAGAAAGAAACUGAGGAGUUGGCAGAGAGCAGCUGCUGCACACAGCUGUUGCUGAUGGAUGGUCCUGAAAGACAGUGAUGUGGGAAGACCCACGUCUUUGGAAAAAGAAGCAGCCUAAGGACUUGUAGUAAGUGGGGUUUGGGGAAAGCAUGGCACUUGGCAAGAUGCAGAACGGAAAGUCAGUUCUACUGCUGAACAGAAAGCAAGCAUGGUGACAGGUUUCCUUCCCUUCCUCCGGAAUCACCACAGCUUUCCAAUGGCUAGUCCCAACUGGAAGCAAGAAGACAAGAGAACCUCUGGAUACUCCCCUGCAGGCCAGCUCCCAGGGCAGAGAGCAGAAUACAGUUCAGAGGGAAAGCAGAUAACUAUUUGGCUUAGCUUUUUACGUCUGCGAUGUGGAAAUUUCUAAGCCUUAUCUUCUAAUACUAAGUUUUGCAAAUUAAAUCUCCCAAACAUUUUUUCUCUCUCUCUCUCUCUCUUUUUCUUUUUUUGGCUGGGAAUGCCUUUUUCUACUAUCCCAUAAGGUAAUUAAAUUAGUUCUUCAAGAUCUGAGUUAGAAAUAUUUCUCCUGGUACUUUAUCUGAUCCUAUCCCCGAAGAUGUUAGUUGUAGUAUACACAAAUGACACUGUAGCAUUUUUUUUUUCAGAGUAAUUGUGUUGGUAGAAAUGGUCAUAGUAGCUUACACCUUAGUAAAGAAAAUGUUGUCUGCUGGGUACUUUCUUUUGCUUUAAGAAUACCCAGGCUUAACCUCAUUUAAUCUUCACAGCAACUCAUAAGACAUAUUCAAGUUUUACAAAUAAGGAACCUAAAGAUUAGAAUUUAUUUUACUCACCUUAGUCGUUACAGAUGAUAUGUGAUAGAAUAAGAAUGUAAAUCUCUGUCUCAUUCCAAAGCUUUUGCCUUUUAAUCACCCUCUGCCACUACCAUGUCUGUCCACCCAGUAGGCUACUGGGUCCAUAAGGGAAAAAUCUAGAUCUUUAAACUACAUUUUUAGACUACAGCAACUUGCAUAGCAUCUACUCCAUAUCAGACAUUUCUGAAUGUUCCUAGAAUUAAAUAUUAAUGAUGCAGAGAAAAACAAACUAAAUAGGCUUAUAGAAUUAAAGCACAUUUAUCAAUAGAAAAAUCCAAGACAUAAAACAAAGGAAAAGCAGGCAAAAGCUAAGGACACAAAACAUCAUUCCUUUUCCUAGACAUGUAGUAGGUUUACUUUGAUCCACUUCUGUCAGCUGGAUUCAAGAUAAUAUUUCCUCACUAUUUUGCUAAGAGCCAUGCAAUCGACUUCUUUUUUUCUUUUUUUGAAUUUGAAAUAGCCAGCCUCCUUUUCCUCCAAAAAGUCUUCUCCUGAAGCAAAACCCUCCCUCCUGAAGCAAAGCCUCUCUUCUAGCUUUGUUCUACCAGUUGUUUGUUCUACUAGUGUCAGUCCCUUUGAGUUUCUCUCUGGAUCAGAUCUAGAACCAAUAACUCCCCCUUAUUUUGAAUGGCUGAGCUAGUGUCCAUCUCAGUUGCACUUGCUAUGUUGGGGGCCUCUGCAGUCCUGUCCUUUAUCUCAGCUAUUUCAAUAGCCUCCUCCAGCCAAAGCUGGUUGAAUUCUUAAACAGGUUGAGUUUUUUUUUUUUUUUUAAGGUGAGGUUAUUUUGGUACAGGACAAAUAUCUUCCGUAAAAAGUAAGUCAUUUUACUAUAAGCAAGUCAACUCCAUAAGCAACACAGACUUAGGACUCAACUUCAGUGAUAAGUAGGUGAUGAAUCCAGUAAUUCUGCAUUUAAGAUACUGAGAAAGUCUUGAGCAUAUUUCAGACCAACUGCCUAUUUGGUGAAGAAAUCCCUAUUAUAACAAACUGGGACUUAGUAGUCCAUGAUGAAAACCUUUCCUGUUUUGAAAGAAGAAUCUAGUUCUGUAUUGGGUGCAGAGCUGCCUCAAAUUAAACCGAAGUUUGCUUCUCUUGAAAUUUAUGACUCAUUCUUUUAAGUAAUGCUUACCGACUGCUCGAUUACUGGCAGUGUGCUAUGUUCGAGGAUUUCUACUUAUUUAUCUACUAAAACUAAAUGCAAUAGUUCUGCCCAAUUGUCUACGAAAUUACAUGAGAAGUCUGAAAGAAAGAAGGUGGAGAGUCCACUGGUGGGAGCAUUAGGAUGCAACAUGUUGUCACGGAAGGAGAAGCCUACUCCAUUCAAGCCAUUCCAAUGAACCAUUUCCAUUGAGUUCAUGAGUGACAUAGCUUCAUCCUCUGAAAAUUGUGAAGAGAGACCAGACUUGCUUAUCUCAAAGGAAGUACAGUACUAAUCCUUCUAGUGUGUGAAGGUUUCUCUUGCCUGCCCCUCCAGCCAGUUGGAGCCAGUAACAUCAAUUCCACAAAAAGAUCAUUGAAGCAUAAGAAGCUACUACUUUAGGCCAUGUUCAGUGAACCAAGCAAGUUGCUAUGGGUCAGGAGUCUGGACACCUAAGCUUGAUCUUCUGCUCAGAGUAUGACAAGGCAGAAAUCAGGAUACUGACUAAGGCAGCAAUCUCAUUUGAGGAUCAUGGUGCUCUCCUGGCCUCAUUCAGGUUAUUGGUAAUAUAUUUUUUUUUACUGUGACUCUAGGACUAAAGUCCUCAUUUUCUUGCUGGUGUUGGUUGAUGGUUACUCUAAGCUCUUAGAUGCUGCCCUCAGGUCCUAACAGUUUGGGCUUCUGGAAGCAUGGCAAUUUAUUUUUUUCAAAGCCAACAAUUAAAUCUAUCUCUAGUCUGCUACCAUGAACUCUCAUACAUUCUAAUAUAACCUGGGUAGUGAUUUUCUUACCGUUCCCACACCCCACCCCACUCAAGGACAGCCUGUAUGCACCUUGAAGCAGGAGUCUCGGAAACCAUCUUAGCAUUCUGCCUGUCACAAUGAACAACAGGAAUUUAUUCCAGAAUUGUAAGCCCUGCUGAACAUGCAGAGAUCAAUGUUAUUUACCACCUAAAAACAAAAACAAA